GUAGCUUAGGUCUGGUUUUGAUCAUCUUUAUGACUUUAAAUCUGUGCCAAGCUGUGAGUUAAUUCAUACGGGCGUUAUGCAAGAGUCAUAUGAGCCAGACUAGGAAUCGACCAACAAGGAUUCCUCUUUUUGUAUUUACUUACAUGGUUGACUUAAAGGGCAAAAUACAGCUGUUACUUUGACAUGCGUUAACCAACUACCGCUGUGUUUUCUUACUAGAACGUGUUUCUGGAGCGGAGGCGAGCUGGUAGGGGAGCCGUGAAUCUGGAGGAUGACCAUCACUCUACCAACAAGGAUUGUAAACCAGGACUCUGGCUGAGGAGAGCUGAUGGAGGAGCCAAGACUCUGGAGGACGACAUCACUCCACCAACCAGGAUCCUCAGACCAAUUACGUUUGUAACCAGACCAGGAAUCUGGAGGACUGAUGGAGAAGCCAUACAUCUGGAAGGCAAAUCCUGAGGACCACCAGAACUCUACCAUCAAGGAUUCCUCAUGAAUGUGCAUUAUCUGGACAUAGUGGACUAGACACACCUGAGCUGAACCUCACCUGAUCCUGUUUGGUCGGGGGUAGACACACCUGAGCUAAACCCGCCCUGAUCCUGACAUCCUGCUGGUCCUGUCCCCUCAGUUCAUCUGAGGCUGAUGGAUCAAUGACCUCCAGUGGGAGUGAUCUUCUUGACCCCACCUGUAACCGUGUGCUUCCACACGCCUUUCCCUCACGUCUGUCACUAACCUCACUACUUCACUACUUUCUACUGCUUCCUCUUUUCUUCCUUCUCGGUGGUUGAAAACUUUACACUGGAGGCGCGUCUUCCUGCCCUCAGAGGGUUUAGCGUUAGGGUUGAGAGUCAGGGUUUAGAGUCAGGGACAGAGCUGGUCAGGGAGGACUGCUUUUACACCAACCUCUUCAUUUGCUUUUGGAAUGAUGGUGA